rnacentral:rRNA from 1 species
GUGGUUUAAUUCGAUGCAACGCGAAAACCUUACCCACCUUUGACAUGUACGGAACCCUUUAGAGAUAGAGGGGUGCUCGAAAGAGAGCCGUAACACAGGUGCUGCAUGGCUGUCGUCAGCUCGUGUCGUGAGAUGUUGGGUUAAGUCCCGCAACGAGCGCAACCCUUGCCGCUAGUUGUUUUCUCUAGCGGUACUGCCCGUAUAACGUGGAGGAAGGUGGGGAUGACGUCAAGUCAGCAUGGCCCUUACAUCCUGGGCUACACACACGCUACAAUGGGUGAUACAACAGGUUGCAAUAGAGUAAUCUGGAGCCAAUCCCUAAAAUCGUCCUCAGUACGGAUUGCAGGCUGCAACUGCCUGCAUGAAGUUGGAGUUGCUAGUAAACGCAGGUCAGCACACUGCGUUGAAUACGUUCUCGGGCCUU